GGUGUGUCCUUCCCGCAGAAACACGUGUUCCCUUCUCCUCGCAACCAGAAUAGAGGAGAGAGAGAGAGAGAGAGAGAGAUCCAUGGAGAUUCUCCCCUGUCCCUCGAUUCGCUAGGGUGCCCCGGCGUCCAGCGCUCUCCCUCCGGCCGCCCAACCCCCUCCUGCUUCUCCGAUGUCCGUGCCAGAAGGGCAGCAUAUCUCGGCCGCCAUACCCAACCCCGGCCUCCAUUUCCCCCGCCGGCAUUUAUGGUCCUGUGAUUUGGGUGUUUUAUGGAUAGUUGCAUGAUAAUGUCCGGGAAUAGUUUAAUCUAUGGGUAGACUCGGGAAGUGUUUUCGUAAGGGUAUUCAUUCUGCUUGUUCCGAAGAGCAAGGUGAUUCAGAUGGUGAUCCUUUUGUGCCCAAUGAUUUUGCUGAGGACGAUUCUUUCCAAGUUUCCGAGGAUGGUGAAAUGGAUAACCCUGAGUGUGAAAAAGCUUAUAUGAUUUCUAUGUGUCCCACAUUUCUUCAGGCAGGAGAGAGACGAUAGGAGGUGAUGAAUGCACAGGAGGGGGGAGAGGGAUGUUUUGCUUGUGUUUUUCCUACUUCUCCAGCCAUGUUGUUGACGUUUGUCUCCCAGAUUUUGGAGGAAUCGCCCUCUCUGGUGGCGCUUCACCAUGUUCGUCCUCCUAUAUGUGGUUGUACUUGUACCAGUGCAUUUUGUCAGUGUAGUUAACUUUGUUUAGUGGAUUUUACACUGUAAAGCUGAUAAAAUUACAGUGUAUUUAUUAGUGGUUUUACAGUGUUUUUAUAAGCGGAUUUGCACUGUAAUUCCUAUCUGGAUUUACACUGUAAUUCUUCUCUAGGUUUACAGUGUAAUUCUGGCUGGUUUUACAGUGUAGUUCUUUGUCGAUAUUGCAGCUUUGAUAUGAUUUACACUGUAAAUCUUAGUUCAAUUUCAGUGUACUUUUAGGUUAUUUUACACUGUAAUUCUUAGUGGAUUACAGUGCAUUGUAAAGUGGAUUUUACUCUGUAAUUCUUUAGUGUAUUUGUUAGUGUAAUUUUAGUACUUCCUCAGUGGAAUUCGUACUGUUA